rnacentral:rRNA from 1 species
AGAGUUUGAUCAUGGCUCAGGACGAACGCUGGCGGCGUGCCUAAUACAUGCAAGUCGAGCGAAUCGAUGGGAGCUUGCUCCCUGAGAUUAGCGGCGGACGGGUGAGUAACACGUGGGCAACCUGCCUAUAAGACUGGGAUAACUUCGGGAAACCGGAGCUAAUACCGGAUACGUUCUUUUCUCGCAUGAGAGAAGAUGGAAAGACGGUUUACGCUGUCACUUAUAGAUGGGCCCGCGGCGCAUUAGCUAGUUGGUGAGGUAAUGGCUCACCAAGGCGACGAUGCGUAGCCGACCUGAGAGGGUGAUCGGCCACACUGGGACUGAGACACGGCCCAGACUCCUACGGGAGGCAGCAGUAGGGAAUCUUCCGCAAUGGACGAAAGUCUGACGGAGCAACGCCGCGUGAACGAAGAAGGCCUUCGGGUCGUAAAGUUCUGUUGUUAGGGAAGAACAAGUACCAGAGUAACUGCUGGUACCUUGACGGUAACUAACCAGAAAGCCACGGCUAACUACGUGCCAGCAGCCGCGGUAAUACGUAGGUGGCAAGCGUUGUCCGGAAUUAUUGGGCGUAAAGCGCGCGCAGGUGGUUCCUUAAGUCUGAUGUGAAAGCCCACGGCUCAACCGUGGAGGGUCAUU